UUAUAAGAGACAGCAGCCGCCACGGUAAUACAGAGGGUGCGAGCGUUAAUCGGAUUUACUGGGCGUAAAGCGUGCGUAGGCGGCUUUUUAAGUCGGAUGUGAAAUCCCUGAGCUUAACUUAGGAGUUGCAUUCGAUACUGGGAAGCUAGAGUAUGGGAGAGGAUGGUAGAAUUCCAGGUGUAGCGGUGAAAUGCGUAGAGAUCUGGAGGAAUACCGAUGGCGAAGGCAGCCAUCUGGCCUAAUACUGACGCUGAGGUACGAAAGCAUGGGGAGCAAACAGGAUUAGAUACCCCCGUAGUCCCUGUCUCUUAUAA
rnacentral:rRNA from 1 species